rnacentral:rRNA from 1 species
GACGAACGCUGGCGGCGUGCCUAAUGCAUGCAAGUAGAACGCACAGUUUAUACCGUAGCUUGCUCCACCAUAGACUGUGAGUUGCGAACGGGUGAGUAACGCGUAGGUAACCUGCCUGGUAGCGGGGGAUAACUAUUGGAAACGAUAGCUAAUACCGCAUAAUAUUAAUUAUUGCAUGAUAAUUAAUUGAAAGGUGCAAUUGCACCACUACCAGAUGGACCUGCGUUGUAUUAGCUAGUAGGUGAGGUAACGGCUCACCUAGGCGACGAUACAUAGCCGACCUGAGAGGGUGAUCGGCCACACUGGGACUGAGACACGGCCCAGACUCCUACGGGAGGCAGCAGUAGGGAAUCUUCGGCAAUGGACGAAAGUCUGACCGAGCAACGCCGCGUGAGUGAAGAAGGUUUUCGGAUCGUAAAGCUCUGUUGUAAGAGAAGAACGGGUGUGAGAGUGGAAAGUUCACACUGUGACGGUAUCUUACCAGAAAGGGACGGCUAACUACGUG